GCUGUAGAAAGAUAUCCAUCUCCAUCUCCUCUUUAUUUGCCCUUGAAACAGUAAUAUCACUUGCAAGAGGAGUCAAUCCGUCGUUCUCAUCCACACUUCACAGUGGUGGAGGAACAGUGUGAUUUUAUAAUUUGAAGUAUGGAUGAUGCUUGAUAAUUCCCAAAACUGCAAGCAGAAAAAUUGUUCAUGCACGAAGUAGCUUGCCAAAUUAAGGACAGGCUGAGGUACCUAAAGAACUUGUUGGGUGAGAGGGUUAAAGGCAGCAGCCUUCCAACAACGACAACCAUUCUUCCAUAUCACAGAAGCAUCGGUGAAGCAGGAGUCAGAAGAUCAAAGGGAACAGCCCUCACAACAGUAUCCCCCACCCUUCUUCGCUUGACACCACCUGAAUUGCAGCCACCAUGUGUGAGAAACCGAAAAGGAGGUUGGGACCUUUGGAAAAGACAAAAUAACAACCAGCCCAUGGCAACAAUGUCAAAACGUCAACUGUAUAAAUAUAAGAGUGACUAACUCUCUCUGGAUGUCAUUUACUUGAAUAUGUUGCUAUAGUGUUGACUCCAGUAAUUACGAUUCUGAUUAUCUUGUCUAUAUUUCUUUAAAACCAGCAUGAUGCUAAAUUACCCUCAUGAAUUGAGUUUCAGAGUAAAGACAUAAAACUGUACAAACCGUCGAUUGCUCUUGCAUUUGUAACUGUGGACCAGCUACUUUAGACGUUCCUGUUCUGUUCUUGUUGGUGUAAUGAAUUCCAAUUGACUGUAAUAAAAAGACUGUAUUAGAACUGAAGCGAUACACUGGGGAUCUCUAGCACAGCAGGAAAUAUUGAAGAAUCAAACUGUUAAAAGAGUAAACUUUCUGAGUGACUUUGAAUAGUAUU